GCUCACUGCAACAUCUGCCUCCCCGGUUCAAGCGAUUCUCCUGCCUCAGCUUCCUGAGUAGCUGGGACUACAGGCACGUGCCACCACACCCAACUAAUUUUUGCAUUUUUAGUAGAGACUGGGUUUCACCAUGUUGGCCAGGGUGGUCUCGAUCUCUUGACCUCGUGAUCUGCCUGCCUUGGCCUCCCAAAGUGCUGGGAUUACAGGUGUGAGCCACAGCACCUGGGCCAUUCUGUGUUUUCUUAGGGACUUGUGAGUUGGUCUCAGUAGGAAACUUGCAUGUCCUUAGUAAGCUGAGCCCACCGAUUCUCUGAAACGCCUCUCAAAUUGGUUCCAGAAGAAGAGAAAAAACGGAGUAAGGGCAACGUUUGAAGAGACAGUAACUCAGAAAUUUCUAGAGUGUAUGAAAGAUGCCUGCCACAGACUCAAGAGACCAGGACAUUCCAAGUAGAAGAACUGAAAAUGGAACCCAGCUUGAGGAACCCCUGGCUCAGAAGGUGGGAUCCAGGCCCACCCGCCCCACAGCCAGUUAUUAAGGUGCAGCUCUUCAGAAAAGGCUGAGAAUCAGCCCACGUUAACAUCUCCAGAAGACCGCCCUCUCCGGGACUUAUACGGGAGACCACGGGGGCCGUUCAACCCUGGCUGUCCCUCUUUGCACUUGUGAGUGAUGGCACACUGAGGCCCUGAGGGCAUGAGGCUCGGGGUCUGUGGGGGAAGUGGGACACACUGGGUCCACCGUCCACUCUGCUGUUUGGUAAUUGAGUUGAGCUGGGCUGCAAUUUGAGUAAAAAUAAUUUUCUCUCUGGACUAUCCCAAUGCAUAGGGCAUGAUUCUCCAGGGAUUUCCACUGAAAACCUGUCUUUGUGUUCUUAACACAGAGAAAUUGCAAACAUUAUUUCUUUCCAUUUAAAAGGUCUCAAGCUUUUCUUAUUAUUGUUCUGUUCCCCGUAGCCUCAGAACGUGGGGAGAGACUGGCUGUGUUUAAGGGUCCUGAAAUCUACAGUUUGUCAGCCAUUGGGCAUUGCUUUUUCUGCCUUAAACAGUGACCCUUCCUGGCCUGCCCAGGUCAUCACAUGCCGCAAGCCUGCCUGCCUGUCAGCACUCCCUCCAGGGCUUCAA
rnacentral:lncRNA from 1 species